UACAGAGGGUGCAAGCGUUAAUCGGAAUUACUGGGCGUAAAGGGAGCGUAGGUGGCUCGAUAAGUCAGAUGUGAAAUCCCCGGGCUCAACCUGGGAACUGCAUCUGAUACUGUUGAGCUAGAGUAUGUGAGAGGAAGGUAGAAUUCCAGGUGUAGCGGUGAAAUGCGUAGAGAUGUGGAGGAAUACCGAUGGCGAAGGCAGCCCCCUGGGAUAACACUGACGCUCAUGUACGAAAGCGUGGGUAGCAAACAGG
rnacentral:rRNA from 1 species